rnacentral:rRNA from 1 species
GUACACGCUGUGACUAGCAUAUCAAUAAGCGGAGGAAAAGAAACUAACAAGGAUUCCCCUAGUAACGGCGAGUGAAGCGGGAAGAGCUCAAAUUUGAAAUCUUAAAGGGUUUCCCUUUACGAAUUGUAGUUUAAAGAAGCUGUUUUCUGUUAGAGUUUCGGUAAAAGUUCUUUGGAAUAGGACAUCAUAGAGGGUGAGAAUCCCGUAUUUGACCAUUAUUUUCAGCUUUGUGAUACACUUUCAAAGAGUCGGAUUGUUUGGGAAUGCAGUCCAAAAUGGGUGGUAAAUUUCAUCUAAAGCUAAAUAUUGGCGAGAGACCGAUAGCGAACAAGUACCGUGAGGGAAAGAUGAAAAGAACUUUGAAAAGGGAGUUAAACAGUACGUGAAAUUGUCAAAAGGGAAGCGUUUGACACCAGUGUUGUUUUUCUGAAAAUCAAUUAAAGAACUGUUUAUGCUAAGUUGUUUAGACUUUAUCAGCUAACUGUUUAGUUUUGAGCUUUUCUUUAAUGCACUUUUCAGUUAACAAGUCAACAUCAAUUUCUUUUGCUGUAAAAAAGCUUGAGGAAGGUGGCUUGAGAUUCGUCUUAAGUGUUUAUAGCCUCUUGCCUAUGCAGUCGGAGAGAUUGAGGUCUGCAGCGUAGAUCCUUCGGGGCUAAAUGCAUUUGUGCUAAGUUAUAGCAUUUUAUAGACAACUUGUUGACUAUGAUUUGUCUUGUAGCUUACUCGCUUAUGUUAUUUUACCUACGCUUAGGAUGUUGAGCGCAUGUCUCUCUCU